rnacentral:rRNA from 1 species
AUUCCAGCUCCAAUAGCGUAUAUUAAAGUUGUUGCAGUUAAAAAGCUCGUAGUUGGAUUUCUGGCCGAGUGUCCCCAGGCCAGCAUGACGUUUGGUCCUGGGCGCUCUGCCAUCCUUCUGUCAACCUUCGCCUCGUUCAUUCGUGGCGCUGGGGCUCAGAUAUUUUACCUUGAGAAAAUUAGAGUGUUUCAGGCAGGCUUUCGCCGGAAUACAUUAGCAUGGAAUAAUGGAAAAGGACUUCAACCUCUUCUGUUGGUCUGAGAGGCUGUAGUAAUGAUUAAUAGGGAUAGUUGGGGGCAUUAGUACUUAACUGUCAGAGGUGAAAUUCUCCGAUUUGUUAAAGACUAACUUAUGCGAAAGCAUUUGCCAAGGAUGUUUUCAUUA